GGAAAGGGCAAAAAUGCCCCUCACCUGUUGUGUGGGUUGAAAAACAAGAAGUUAUUUAAUGCUGUGUUAGUGGUAGCUGUGAAUUUAGAGAGAACUUGUUGGGUUGCUAGCUGUUUCUUUGUACCUGAGAGCUAGUAGGGUAGUGGGUCUCUGGUGGAAGGAAGAGCCUGAAGUGAGGAGUCUUUGCUGGUUAUCCUCAGGUGGGGAAAGAGAAAGAAGAAAUUUAUCUCUAUCUAGCAGAGCUAUGCAGAGAGUAAAUCCAAAUACAGCUUCC
rnacentral:lncRNA from 1 species